rnacentral:rRNA from 1 species
AACGAACGCUGGCGGCAUGCCUAACACAUGCAAGUCGAACGAGACCUUCGGGUCUAGUUGCGCACGGGUGCGUAACGCGUGGGAACCUGCCCUUAGGUUCGGAAUAACUCCCCGAAAGGGGUGCUAAUACCGGAUAAUGUCUUCGGACCAAAGAUUUAUCGCCUUUGGAUGUGCCCGCGUUGGAUUAGCUAGUUGGUAGGGUAAAAGCCUACCAAGGCGACGAUCCAUAGCUGGUCUGAGAGGAUGAGCAGCCACACUGGGACUGAGACACGGCCCAGACUCCGACGGGAGGCAGCAGUGGGGAAUAUUGGACAAUGGGCGAAAGCCUGAUGCAGCAAUGCCGCGUGAGUGAUGAAGGCCUUAGGGUUGUAAAGCUCUUUUAACCGGGAUGAUAAUGACAGUACCGGGAGAAUAAGCGCCGGCUAACUCCGUG